GACAAUUCUUCUUUCUAUUUAGCAAUACACCAUAGAUCUAGAGCAUGUCACCGUCUGUAUUAUCUAAGUCGUCAGAAAAUGUAGAUGAGAGUGAAGUCCUCAAAAAAUGUAGAUGAGAGUGGAAUUGUAAGACAAUCAAAGAAAAUGAAAAAAAGAACAAGAACAGCUUAACUGCAAGAAAAGAUCACAACUGUAUCUCACUUCAGUUCCAGGUGAUGUUGACUAUCAAGUUAAAUGCUUUAACCGAGGCUCUUGUCGAUAACGUUCAACCAAAAAGGCUGUUUUCCGAAAAAUGAAAGGGACAUCUGCCCCAAAAAAGGAUGACAAUGAAAAAACUAAAGAAUUUAUUGGCCAUAUUAUAGGCGAACUAAAUAAAACAAAUGUUAACAAGACAAUGCAUGGGAAAGUUUUUGAGACCUUUUGGAAGACAAUAGAGACAAUGCUGCCAGACGAUUCAAGUGAACGAUAAGAAGAACAGGAUUGUGACAAAUUUAAACUUACUUACUCAUAAAACAUAGUUACAUUUACAUGGAGUAAGAUUAUUAGGUCCUCUACUCUGCUAUUGGCAUACCCACCAAGGAAAUGGUAUUUCAUGCCCAGGAAAAACCUGAAAAUGACAAAAUGUUAUUGAGUUUGAAUUUAUGAUUUAUGUUUGAAGGAACAAAUAGAAAGUACAUAAAAUUUUAAUGUGUAUACAUUUGAAUGUUAUAAGUUGCAUUAAAGUUUUUGUUUUAAUGUUUUCAUACACAUCAGGUUUUGCUAAACUACAUUUUUCAUUUGUCUGCUUUUAUGUAAUUAUCGACUUGCAUUGACGAUUAUCAUUUUUGUAUUAAAUUUGCAUAACCCUAUCAUGAAAGAACGGCAAUAAUCUCUCCGUAUAGUUAAACAAUUGUAUAGUUUAUAUCAUUUUAAGUCUUUGGCUACCCACGAAAAACAGAGACAGUUCAGUGUAUCCCCAAAAUAAAAUAUAAUUAGUUACUAUUAUCAAAUAGAUAAUGAUUAGAUGAUGCUUAAAAUUUCGAUUUUGUAAUAUAUAAUGUAUAGUAAUAAAAUGUAUUAAUAACCUUUCAACUAAGUUAUUUGUAUCUUGAUCUUAAUGAAAAAAUAAGUCUUUCAUAGUUGGCCCAUCGACAUCCCAACUUGUCAGUACACCAGUUGUCUAACAAGUAGUCUGUUAUUUGUUUGGAAGGCAUCUUUUCUUGCAACAUUUGAACUUUUUGAAAAGUAUAUUUGUUGAUGAAAAAUUAUAUUGACACAUUUCUUUUGAGUAUAGGAACAGAAUCUAUAGAUUAAACACGCAUGUACUCAUAAGCAUUGUACAUUUAUAGGUAAGAUCUUCAAAUCGCAUCAAGCAACUCUUUGUACUUUUAAAUUAUUUUACUGAUAUAAUUCAAUAGAGAUUCAUUGGUAUAUGUUUUAGUGGGUUCUUUUUAUCUUUUAUCAACCAAAAUUUAUGUUUUUUGUAAGUGUCACUAGUUCAUGAGAUAAAUAUUAUUAUGUAAAAUUAUUUAUCUAAUAUUCUUUGCCAAAAUUCAACUGAAAUUUGUGUUGACGUUAAUUGUAUUAAAUUUGAUAUGCAGGAAAAGAUGUUUCUUUAGAUGAAUCUUUCUUAGCAUUGUCUAUUGGUCAAUUGUCAAAUAACUAUCACUGCAAGAAUAUGUGAAUAAUGUCAUAGUUUAACCUGUAAUUUUUACAGACAAAUAUAUUAAAAGAUAUAAUUGAA